rnacentral:misc_RNA from 1 species
ACGCACAUGCAACGAAACAAAGAGAAAGACCGCCAUUACUAGAAAAAAAGCAAAAGCUCAACCUCCAUUGACAAGAUUGUUUGGGAAAUUGUCAUCUAAACGGUGGAGUAUAAAUAAAAACUAAUUUGAUGACCAGAAUGACUAUCUUAAGCUAGGGUUGGCUUGAGAAGCGAGUGUUUUAAGAGAAGCGAUACCAAUUGUUUUCAUGAACAUGAAGAGGAUGUGAUUGACAUUUUAUAAACAAGUCCAGAAGUGCUGCAUGAUGCAAACAUUGGUGUAAAAUGUAAGUAAUAAUGUAAGUGAUGUGUGAUCGGACGUUCUGGAAAGACUUAUGUUGGUUGGAGGGAUAAAUAUGUUGACUUCAGCUUAUAAAAAAAUGUAUAUAUUUCUACACUGUACAAUAUUGUGAACAUUAAAUAUUGUGAAGUU